ACAAGCGGCGGAGCAUGCGGAUUAAUUCGAUGCAACGCGAAGAACCUUACCAAGGCUUGACAUACACCGGUAACGCCCAGAGAUGGGUGCCCCUUUGUGGUCGGUGUACAGGUGGUGCAUGGCUGUCGUCAGCUCGUGUCGUGAGAUGUUGGGUUAAGUCCCGCAACGAGCGCAACCCUCGUCCUAUGUUGCCAGCGGGUCAUGCCGGGGACUCAUGGGAGACUGCCGGGGUCAACUCGGAGGAAGGUGGGGAUGACGUCAAAUCAUCAUGCCCCUUAUGUCUUGGGCUUCACGCAUGCUACAAUGGCCGGUACAAAGGGCUGCGAUACCGCGAGGUGGAGCGAAUCCCAGAAAGCCGGUCUCAGUUCGGAUUGGGGUCUGCAACUCGACCCCAUGAAGUCGGAGUCGCUAGUAAUCGCAGAUCAGCAACGCUGCGGUGAAUACGUUCCCGGGCCUU
rnacentral:rRNA from 1 species